GAUGAACGCUGGCGGCGUGCCUAAUACAUGCAAGUCGAGCGAACGGACGAGAAGCUUGCUUCUCUGAUGUUAGCGGCGGACGGGUGAGUAACACGUGGAUAACCUACCUAUAAGACUGGGAUAACUUCGGGAAACCGGAGCUAAUACCGGAUGAUAUUUUGAACCGCAUGGUUCAAAAGUGAAAGACGGUCUUGCUGUCACUUAUAGAUGGAUCCGCGCUGCAUUAGCUAGUUGGUAAGGUAACGGCUUACCAAGGCAACGAUGCAUAGCCGACCUGAGAGGGUGAUCGGCCACACUGGAACUGAGACACGGUCCAGACUCCUACGGGAGGCAGCAGUAGGGAAUCUUCCGCAAUGGGCGAAAGCCUGACGGAGCAACGCCGCGAGAGUGAUGAAGGUCUUCGGAUCGUAAAACUCUGUUAUUAGGGAAGAACAUAUGUGUAAGUAACUGUGCACAUCUUGACGGUACCUAAUCAGAAAGCCACGGCUAACUACGUG
rnacentral:rRNA from 1 species